UCCAUAUGAUGCAAGUCUACCUUUUUAAAAUAAAGUCAAUUAAAUGCAUUGACUUCAAGAUAGCAUAGCAAGCAGCACACAUUUCACACAACUAUUGUUUUCCAAUGCAAUGUUUAGACAUUCAACCAUGACAUAACCUGGAAUAUAUAGCUGAAUAAUCAGCUGCUGUGUGUGUGUGUGUGUGUGUGUGUGUGUGUGUGUGUGUGUGUGUGUGUGUGUGUGUGUGUGUGUGUGUGUGUGUGUGUGUGUGUGUGUGUGUGUGUGUGUGUGUGUGUGUGUGUGUUUGAGUGAUGGGCUGUGGUGGCCUUUCACACAGGGCCAGGAGUGUUUGUGGCCCCUCCAUGUGUCCGCGGGGGGCUGUCGGGACAUGUCCCGGAGCUGUGAAUGUUCCACACAGGGGGCUGUUAGCAGAUGCUACUUAAUACACACACACACACACACACACACACACACAUGCGCACACACAUUAGCGCCCUGACACGUGCACACACACAGACACACAUGCAAACACACAUAUGCAAACACUCACACACACAAAGACAUACAUGCACACAAACAUUCACCCACACAGUCACACGCGCACACACACACACACACACACACACACACACACACACACAAACACACACACACACGCGCACACGCAAACAGACACACUAACAUGCACACACACACACACACACACACACACACCAACACACCUUGACACAUUCACACACCUUCACACACUAAUAACACAUGCGCAUAUACACACACUUAGUUGAUCUCUUACUAGCAUGCAAAAUUCAACACCUCUAGUUGUUACCAUUCAUGCUCAACACUCAUCACCCCAUCACACUAGAGAAGAACUCCAUUCGACACAAAAUGUCUUCACUCUCUGACAGAGCAGAGCUAAAUGGCUCUUUCUUCUGUUCUCAAACACAUCUGUCUUGCAAAAAAAUAUAAAUCACUCCUGUUCACUCUGCUUCUCGCUCGCAUCGUUGCUCUCCCUCUUCCUAUCUCCUUUCCCCUUUUCACUUGCGUUCAUUCUCCUGCUCUCCCGUCCAUUGUCUUAUUCUCUUCUCCUCUCCCCUUCCGCUCCUCUCUUCUCUUCUCCAUUCCAACUCUCCUCUUCUUCUCCUAUCCUUGUAUCCUUUCCUCCCUCCUAUCUCCUUCAGCCUUUCCUUCCCCUCAUUCUCAAGCCAUCUCUCUUAUCUUCUCAUUCUCCCCUCCUCCCUCACUCUCCUUCCCCUUCCCCUCUCCUCUCCCUCCUCUCCUCUCAUCAUUUCCCUCUCCUCCCUCUCCUCCCCCUUCCCCUCUCCUCUCCCUCCUCUCCUCUCAUCAUUUCCCUCUCCUCCCUCUCUCCUUCCCCCUCACCCCUGCCUUCCCACUCUCUCAUUCCUCUCACUCACUCUCUUUCUCCUACCAAAUAUUGUUCCCUGCCCUACCCCUCCUCUCGCCUCCUUUCUCUCUCUCCUCCCCUCCUCCUCCUCUCCCUCCCACUCCCCCCUCUCUCUCCUAUCCUAUCCUCUCCCCUGCCCUCCCCAUCUCUCUUCUCUCGCCUACUCCUCUCCCUCCCUCUCGUCUGUCAUCCCAGCUCAUGUCUACGAGUGCUGAUGACGGGCCGCUGGGCUGGUGUAUGAAACAGGAUUCAAGUAGAGAGGAAACUGCUGCUGCAUCGUGUGUGAGCUUCCCCCCCCCCCACAGACACAAACACACACACACAUUCACACACGUUGCACGUUGAAAAAAUAUGUGUGUGUGUGUGUGCGUGCAUGUCCAUUUGUCUGUGUGUGUGUUUUCAAAUUCGUGCAUUGCUUCGGUGUGUAUGUUUGUGUGGGUUGCUUAUGCGUCAUCCCAACCAGUAAAUCCACGGUACGCUGGAACUGUUGUCUGAAUGAGUUUUGUUUACGCUACACUGUAAACUAUUUCCCUCUCUCUAAUCUCUAACCUCUCCAUGAUCUUGUGAUCUUGUGAUCAUGUCAUUCCAAUCCCUCUCUCUCUCUCUCUCUUUCCCGCUUUCGCCUCCUUCUUCCGACUGAAGUCACAUGCCCCCAUGAGUGUCACUACGAGCGCCCACAUCCACGCCUCAAUCUUCU
ensembl:lncRNA